UGUCACAAGUAUACGGUCAAAUUUCUUGAGUGUUUCUUCCAGCCACACACAUGCCUCAAGAUCUGGCCAUCUUUAUUUCUUUCUGUAAGCUUUAUCUUCAGUGCCCUGCAGUGUUCGGUCUUCCAGGCCUUCUUGUUGUCGCCGAUACUGGCGGGAGCAGAGCAUGGACGAACCUGGCGGGAGCAGAGCAUGGACCUGGGCACGGUUGCCGUGCAUCCGUCGCUAGGCGUGCGGAAUCUGCAGGCGGUCGUGGUGGACCGCGUCGGCGUCGCGCCGCAGCAGAUAUCGGCGUCGCUGGCCAAACCCCGCAGCCAGUGCCGCGUGCUUCUC
rnacentral:rRNA from 1 species